CAACAAGUCACAGUCUGCCAUA
rnacentral:miRNA from 17 species